GAUUUAUAUGUAAUAUUAUUUUAUUGAAAAUUGUGUGAUUAAAAUUAGGAUAGAGAAAAAUUUAAUUUAAUGUAAUGAAGAAUAACAGAGGUGAGGGCUUAAUCAAGAAAAUCACGUGAGUCAAAAAAUAAGUCCAAUUUUUCCCCAUAUCCAAUCGAGCUGUUGCAGAAUAUCGGUUCUUUUUCCCAAAAAUUGAACUUUUGUUUUGUGUUAUUUAAUUAUAAUCAUCCAUUAAGUAACUCCUGUGUGGCAGCUGAUGAUUUGCAGUGUGUAGCAAACAAUGAAGGCAUCGAAUUUUUAUGCGCUUUCUAUCAAUCCCCAGCUGAAUCGAUCUAUUUUCUUUAAAAAUGUAAGCGUUGUUCUUCAUGUUAGGAUUUUAUGGCAUGCUUUUCUUGGUCUCAAAUGUUAGUUUUCAUUUUAUUUUUUGAGUCUAUGUUGGUAGCAAUUUCGAAUUGGGAUUCCCAAAUAAUUCAAUUUGAAUUUCAAUGGAAUCGGUCCAUAUUGCAAUUCCGAAGCCCUGGUUACUUGCUG
rnacentral:lncRNA from 1 species